rnacentral:tRNA from 1 species
AAAUAAGAAGCAAUAAUUUAUGCAUUUAAUUUCGACUUAAAAAAUUGAGUAAUUUACUCCUUAUUUA